AGGAUUGAUGGAUCAGGCCCAAUGAAGAGACUUGAGUCAUCAGGUUAAAUAUAUCUCUUUUAUUUACAGGUUCUGCACAUCAUCACUGGUUACAUCUGGAACUAAACAACAUGGAGGAGUGUGCCCACCUUUUAUACCUGUGGGCGGGGAUUCAGGAACACCACCUGGAGCUGCUGUGACCACUCUAGGAUAUUGCCCCCAUCCAUCCUCAACUUGGGAAAGUCUACUGGCGGAAGAGCGCAUGCGCGAAGUCCAUUUCAGCUCCGCCGUCGCCGAGGAAGGACCUGUUCGUCGCGGCUCCGCUGUAGAGGCCUCUAUCGGUCGGGUAGGCCUCGGCUUCGGUCUUGGGGGUCCAGGUGUGCUCCGGAAGGCGUCGUCCAGCAGCUGCUUCUCCGGAAUGAAGAUCCUGGCGGUGCUGAGG